GGCCGCCUGGCGUAAUGGCAACGCGUCUGACUACGACAAGCUCACGGGCUGGGGUAAUCAGGAGAUUGCAGGUUCGACCCCUGCGGUGGUCA